rnacentral:rRNA from 1 species
CGGGGUGCAGCAGGCGCGAAAACUCUACAAUGCAGGCAACUGCGAUAGGGGAACAUCGAGUGAUACUCAUAUUGGGUGUCUGUCCCACCGUCUAAAAAACGGUGGUUAGCAAGGGCCGGGCAAGACCGGUGCCAGCCGCCGCGGUAAUACCGGCGGCUCGAGUGGUGGCCGAUAUUAUUGAGUCUAAAGGGUCCGUAGCCGGCUUUGCAAGUCUUUUGGGAAAUCCAGCGGCUUAACCGUUGGUCGUCCGGGAGAUACUACAUUGCUUGGGACUGGGAGAGGUAGGAGGUACUCAGGGGGUAGGAGUGAAAUCCUGUAAUCCUUUGGGGACCACCGGUGGCGAAGGCGUCCUACCAGAACAGGUCCGACGGUGAGGGACGAAAGCUAGGGGCACGAACCGGAUUAGAUACCCGGGUAGUCCUAGCCGUAAACGAUGCUCGCUAGGUGUCACAACAAUCGUGAAUUGUUGUGGUGCCGUAGGGAAGCCGUGAAGCGAGCCACUUGGGAAGUACGACCGCAAGGUUGAAACUUAAAGGAAUUGGCGGGGGAGCAC